AGAAAAAUUUGACUUCAGUUGAGUCCUCUGUUCAUAGUAUAUAGUGGAAGAAUUUUCUAAGUAAAAUAGUAUUCUCUUUUGUUUUCACUUAUUCUUAAGUUUCUGAAACCCAUUUACUAGAUAACGAAUAUAUUUGUUAGUUGUUUAAAAUGUUAUACCUCCAUUAAGAUCGUUUACCUUUGUUAGCAAGUCUAAAGUUCAAGGACUGUGUAAUUUCAGCUGCCAUCCAGUGAGAAUGGUAGGUGUUCUUUGGACAGAGGAAUCUUUUAAGUAGCCUUAAAUGCAUCAGGUAGAUGCACCUUCCCCAAAGCUAGUUCAUCUUGUUUCAAUCUAGACUGCUGUUAUCUACACAUCACACACAAAACUCUUCAGAACAUCAUCUGAGAGCAAAUGGACUUUGACUAGAAUCUACUCAUUCUCUCAGCCCUG
rnacentral:lncRNA from 1 species